rnacentral:rRNA from 1 species
AGCGAACGCUGGCGGCAGGCUUAAUACAUGCAAGUCGAGCGGGCACUUCGGGGUCUGCGGCAGAUGGGUGAGUCACCCGUGGGAAGGUAACCAUUGGUUCGGACUAACGAUGGGACACUAGUGAUAUUACCGGAUACGCGCUUUUGGGGAAAGGCUUGUUGCCGAAGGAUCGGCCCGCGUCUGAUUAGCUAGUUGGUGGGGUAAUGGCCUACUAAGGCGACGAUCAGUAGCUGGUCAGAGAGGAAGAUCAGCCACUCUGGGACUGAGACACGGCCCAGACUCCUACGGGAGGCAGCAGUGGGGAAUAGUGGACAGUGGGCGCAAGCCUGAUCCUGCCAUGCCGCGUGAAUGAUGAAAGCCGUAGGGUUGUAAAGCUCUUUUGUCCAGGACGAUAAUGACGGUACCUAAAGAAUAAGCCCCGGCUAACUUCGUG